GAGAGCAGCAAACAUUAUUCUACAUGUAGACAAGACAUAGAGCUACGACAAAAUGAUGAAAAUGUUCCUAAAUUUGAUUUUCCUGAAUUUCAUUGUUCUCUCAGAUGCAAUGCCAUUUAAUAUCUCUGAUCUGUUACCUUCUGAAAUAUGUGCUAAUGGAUACUCCACUGUCUGGGAUAAACCCAGAUAAGAGGCAACUUUGAAGGCAAUGAUUAUUCAGAAUUUGUAAACGGCACGUACACAUUGAUCGGCCAAUUGUUUGUAUC